rnacentral:rRNA from 1 species
GAUGAACGCUGGCGGCGUGCCUAAUACAUGCAAGUCGAGCGAACAGACGAGGAGCUUGCUCCUCUGACGUUAGCGGCGGACGGGUGAGUAACACGUGGAUAACCUACCUAUAAGACUGGGAUAACUUCGGGAAACCGGAUCUAAUACCGGAUAAUAUAUUGAACCGCAUGGUUCAAUAGUGAAAGACGGUUUUGCUGUCACUUAUAGAUGGAUCCGCGCCUCAUUAGCUUGUUGGUAAGGUAACGGCUUACCAAGUCAACGAUGCUUAGCCGACCGGAGAGGGUGAUCGGCCACACUGGAACUGAGACACGGUCCAGACUCCUACGGGAGGCAGCAGUAGGGAAUCUUCCGCAAUGGGCGAAAGCCUGACGGAGCAACGCCGCGUGAGUGAUGAAGGUCUUCGGAUCGUAAAACUCUGUUAUUAGGGAAGAACAAAUGUGUAAGUAACUAUGCACGUCUUGACGGUACCUAAUCAGAAAGCCACGGCUAACUACGUG